rnacentral:rRNA from 1 species
AGUAGCCGCGGGAACACGGAGGGUGCAAGCGUUAUCCGGAUUCACUGGGUUUAAAGGGUGCGUAGGCGGAUCUGUAAGUCAGUGGUAAAAUCUCCAGGCUUAACCUGGAAACUGCCGUUGAUACUAUAGGUCUUGAAUUUUGUGGAGGUUAGCGGAAUAUGUCAUGUAGCGGUGAAAUGCAUAGAUAUGACAUAGAACACCAAUUGCGAAGGCAGCUGGCUACACGACUAUUGACGCUGAGGCACGAAAGCGUGGGGAUCAAACAGGAUUAGAUACCCCAGUAGUCCCUGUCUCUUAUACA